rnacentral:rRNA from 1 species
AGGAUUCCCCUAGUAACGGCGAGUGAAGCGGGAUGAGCUCAAGCUUAAAAUCAUUAUGGAGGUUCUCUAUAAAGAAUUGUAGUCUAUUGAAGCUGUUUUCAGUGUAUGCGUCUCGGAUGAGUCCCUUGGAACAGGGCAGCAUGGAGGGUGAUACUCCCGUACAUGCCGAGAUGUGGUAUGCGUACGAAACGCUUUCUUUGAGUCGAGUUGCUUGGGAAUGCAGCUCAAAGUAGGUGGUAAAUUCCAUCUAAAGCUAAAUAUAAGUACGAGACCGAUAGCGAACAAGUACCGUGAGGGAAAGAUGAAAAGAACUUUGAAAAGAGAGUUAAAGAGUACCUGAAACUGUUGAAAGGGAAGCGAAUCGUUUUCAGUGUGAAUAUGGUUGUACAUAUUUCACUUGUCUUUUGUAGCCAUGUAUGACUUUUUUUUKGWAAYCKUUCMYUCGGWMCUUGGGUGGWWUGWAUUUGGUAAUGAAAARAGGGGCCCGGGGUWUAACUGKGAUGYCAAAKYCAAUUCWWAUGYCKGGGRAAAUGGUUGAGUAGGGAGGUAGGUUCAUUUUUCUCUGAAUAACUGGACUGUUUUAUAUCCUAUUGAACUAGUUGUCAUGGCAAGGAUUGAGGUGCUUUUCGCAACAUGCUUUUAAAGUGUCUAUGGAUCUCUUGUCUAUGGUCAAUGCAGAUAGUUUGACUUAUGUGUGUUGAUAUUUUUUUUCAUGGAUAGAUGGAUGUUGUAGUCUAACUUUUGCUGUUCGGGACUUUGACAAAAUGAAGCGAUCCGACCCGUCUUGAAACACGGACCAAGGAGUCUAACAUGUAUGCAAGUAUUAGGGUGUGGAAACCCCAAUGCGUAAUGAAAGUAAAGGGAAACAUUGUGUUUUCUGAGGUAGGAAAUGCUGAGUGCUUCGGUACUUGGUAUGGCACUAUCGACCGAUCAUGAACCUACGUGGUGAAAGAUUUGAGUAUGAGCAUAUAUGUUGGUACCCGAAAGAUGGUGAACUAUGCCUGAAUAGGGUGAAGCCAGGGGAAACUCUGGUGGAAGCUCGUAGCGAUUCUGACGUGCAAAUCGAUCGUCAAAUUUGGGUAUAGGGGCGAAAGACUAAUCGAACCAUCUAGUAGCUGGUUCCCUCCGAAAUUUCCCUCAGGAUAGCAACAACUUGUGAUUGAUAGUUUUAUGAGGUAAAGCGAAUGAUUAGAGGAUUCAGGGAAGAAACUUCCUUGACCUAUUCUCAAACUUUAAAUGGGUAAGACCUGAAGGUUUCUUAAUGAACCUUGGCG